ACCUGAGCUCAGGCGUGACUACCCGCUGAACUUAAGCAUAUCAUUUAGCGGAGGAAAAGAAACUAA
rnacentral:rRNA from 2 species